rnacentral:pre_miRNA from 1 species
CGAGUUCGCUUUGCACGGGGUUGUUGUCGUCCCUCACGUGGUGUUUGCAGCUAGGAUGUCGGGAGGGGUCGAUGUGUUGUGGAAUGUUCCGCUCCUUGAAAUUUGAGUGACCCUUACCGUCUGCCAGUGAGGCCGCUUGCAAACACCCGUAUGGGACGACGAAGCUCUGGUGUUGCUCAACAUC